rfam:Oryza sativa Japonica Group DNA, chromosome 2, cultivar: Nipponbare, complete sequence.
AAAAAGGCAAACCCUGGGUUUCCGUGUCCAACUUUGACUGUCCGUCUUAUACGAAAUUUUUUUAUAAUUCGUAUUUUACUUGUUGUUAGAUGAUAAAAUAUGAUUAAUAUUUUAUGCGUGACUUGUCUUUUUAAUUUUUUUUCAUAUUUUUUUCAAAUAAGACGGACGGUCAAACGUUGGGCACGGAAACCAGGGUUUGUCUUUUU